rnacentral:rRNA from 1 species
UGGAAACUGCCCGAUGGAGGGGGAUAACUACUGGAAACGGUAGCUAAUACCGCAUAACGUCGCAAGACCAAAGAGGGGGACCUUCGGGCCUCUUGCCAUCGGAUGUGCCCAGAUGGGAUUAGCUAGUAGGUGGGGUAACGGCUCACCUAGGCGACGAUCCCUAGCUGGUCUGAGAGGAUGACCAGCCACACUGGAACUGAGACACGGUCCAG